rnacentral:rRNA from 1 species
GAUCCUGGCUCAGGAUGAACGCUAGCUACAGGCUUAACACAUGCAAGUCGAGGGGCAUCAGUUUUGGUUUGCUUGCAAACCAAAGCUGGCGACCGGCGCACGGGUGAGUAACACGUAUCCAACCUGCCUCAUACUCGGGGAUAGCCUUUCGAAAGAAAGAUUAAUAUCCGAUAGCAUAUAUUUCCCGCAUGGGUUUUAUAUUAAAGAAAUUCGGUAUGAGAUGGGGAUGCGUUCCAUUAGUUUGG